rnacentral:rRNA from 3 species
AUGUUUGAUGUUCUAACGUGGACCCGUAAUCCGGGUUGCGGACAGUGUCUGGUGGGUAGUUUGACUGGGGCGGUCUCCUCCUAAAGAGUAACGGAGGAGCACGAAGGUUGGCUAAUCCUGGUCGGACAUCAGGAGGUUAGUGCAAUGGCAUAAGCCAGCUUGACUGCGAGCGUGACGGCGCGAGCAGGUGCGAAAGCAGGUCAUAGUGAUCCGGUGGUUCUGAAUGGAAGGGCCAUCGCUCAACGGAUAAAAGGUACUCCGGGGAUAACAGGCUGAUACCGCCCAAGAGUUCAUAUCGACGGCGGUGUUUGGCACCUCGAUGUCGGCUCAUCACAUCCUGGGGCUGAAGUAGGUCCCAAGGGUAUGGCUGUUCGCCAUUUAAAGUGGUACGCGAGCUGGGUUUAGAACGUCGUGAGACAGUUCGGUCCCUAUCUGCCGUGGGCGCUGGAGAACUGAGGGGGGCUGCUCCUAGUACGAGAGGACCGGAGUGGACGCAUCACUGGUGUUCGGGUUGUCAUGCCAAUGGCACU